rnacentral:snoRNA from 1 species
AAGACUAUAUUUUCAGGGAUCAUUUCUAUAGUUUUUUACUUGGAAAUGUGUCUUGAAAGUGUUUGUCUCCCAACCCACGAUGAUGAGCUGUAAUGCUCCUUUCUGAGAGUGAAUUGAGGAUGGAACUGUGUCACCGAUGAGCGUUCGUAUUGCUCUUGGCAAUAUUGAAGAAAGGAGUAUGAUCUGAGUGGU